rnacentral:ncRNA from 1 species
UCCUGCGCAGAAACUACGAGAAUAAAGUUUUAUUUUGGUAAAUGUGCUUUCUAUAAAAUUGUUUUACAUGUAAAAUAUGAAGUUCCUAAAGGGGUGGGAUAAUAAGCGCAGUAUUUGAUUUUAAAAAUUAGGGAAACUUAGAGUUGGCGAAUUUAAAUAGUUUUGGCCAAAUUUGUGCCAGCGACCGCGGUUACACAAAUAAUACGAGAGAGCAUUUUUGGAUAAAGUUAGUCAGGGUAAAGCACGAAAGGGGUAUAUUUUUAGGUGAAAUUUUUAAUUGGUGGAAAGGGCAAAAAAUAAUAAGGUGAAACUUGGAGACCCAGAAAGAAAACUAGGAUUAGAGACCCUACUAUGCUGGGUAUUAUAGGAGGUCCUGAGUAGUAAAAGGUAUGGUCUUAAAACUCAAAAAAUUUGGCGGUGGUUUAGCUGGUCAGAGGAAUUUGCCCUAUAAUCGAUAACCCCCGAGGAUUCUACUUAGAUUUGUGGUCAACUUGUAUACCGCCGUCAUCAGGAAAUUUUGGGAAAGUAUUUUCAGAAUCUUAUGAGAGAGUAUGUCAGGUCAAGGUGCAGUUAAUGUUUAAGGAGAGGUGAAUUACAAUAAAAGAAUUUAACACGGAAAGUUUUGUGUAAAAGGCUAGAAGGUGGAUUUGGAAGUAAUACUGUCGACCAUGAGGGUAUAAUAUCAGCUCUAAAUCGUGCACACAUCGCCCGUCGCUCUCGUAUUCAAUGAGAUAAGUCGUAACAUAGUAGGUGUACCGGAAGGUGCCCCUAGAAUG